rnacentral:tRNA from 2 species
AAAGACUGAAGACUGUCCCCCUUCUUAGAGUU